GCAAACUUAAAAGGAAAUGUGCCAUUCCAAUGGCAAACUUAAAGGAAAUGUGACGAUUCGAACGUUGUGAUUCGUUCACAGGACAAAGAAAUAUUAACCUCCGCAGUCCGAAGCAGUUUUACCUGUAGAAUUUUGAUCCCAAUUCUCAGCGGGUAGACUGGCGGUCGUUUGGUCAACUAAACGGCGGCUAAGCGUGUCCGGAUGAUAAUGAGAUGUUGCUGGAUGAAUGAGACGUUGUGACCAUCUCCAAAUUCGUGGUAGAUCAUCAUUCAGCUCAAUGUACUCCGGAUCGGUUGCUAUCAGUAACUGUUAUAGACGAUUGACUUUUCGUGUCCAAUGGACUUGGUUUCUCAACAGAAGUCGUGUGACACCUGCCGAAGUGAAGGACACGAAAAUGCAAAACAUAACGAAACGCAUUUCGACUUCCAGUGCUGGUGAAAUUUAAAGUUAAAAAAAAAAUCAAUUUCUAUUACAAACUUCUCAGAAGUUGGGUGUAAUGAAAAGUCCCUCAAAGAAGUAUGUAAGCUUAUUCUUCACCUGGAAGCAUCCAAAGUUCUUCAAGGUCUAGGCUGCGUUAAACGUUGUUGGCUCAGCCUCUCCAGUGGAACCAGAAAUCUCUUUUUCCAAGGUUGCCGCUCAAGAGCUGGUUUCUAGUGAGUCCUAAGAGUAAAUCCGUUUCUGUUCGAACGGAUUUUUUCUGACGCUAGACGUCAUAGCCUUUGAUAAUUUUACACUCAGUUUAAUAACGUUUACUUUGCACAUCUCUGAAGAAAUUUCUCGCUGCUACUAAAAGAAACUUUUGUGUGAUAGCUGUCAGUUUCUGUUUCAGCAACAAAGCUCACUUGUUAGUUUUUAGUAAUAAUGUCCU